CCAAUAGCGUAUAUUAAAGUUGUUGCAGUUAAAAAGCUCGUAGUUGAACUUCAGGCCUGGCUGGGCGGUCCGCCUUCCGGGCGAGUACUGCCUGUGGUCGGGUCCUACCUUCUGGCGAAGCGUCAUGGCCUUAACCGGCCGUGGCGGGGAACCAGGACUUUUACUGUGAAAAAAUUAGAGUGUUCAAAGCAGGCACGCGCUUGAAUACAUUAGCAUGGAAUAAUGGAAUAGGACAGUGGUUCUAUUUGUUGGUUUCUAGGACCGUUGUAAUGAUUAAUAGGGAUAGUUGGGGGCAUUAGUAUUCAAUUGUCAGAGGUGAAAUUCUUGGAUUUAUUGAAGACUAACUACUGCGAAAGCAUUUGCCAAGGAUGUUUUCAUUAAUCAAGAACGAAAGUUAGGGGAUCGAAGACGAUCAGAUACCGUCGUAGUCUUAACCAUAAACUAUGCCGACUAGGAAUCGGGCGAUGUUGACAAAAUGACGCGCUCGGCACCUCACG
rnacentral:rRNA from 1 species